rnacentral:lncRNA from 1 species
UUAUUUGCAGUGCAAUCCUGUACAGGUCUACUCAGAAGUGAGUUCAGUUGGGUUCACUCCCAGGUAAGUGCUAUAGGAUUGCAGCCUUAACAACUCUUUAGCCAGAGUUCAGUUUAAUUUCUGGUAUUUUGUUGCUACCAUUGUUGUGCGUAUGCAUGAAACAUACAUUUAUAGUAAAAUUCCUGUAUUAUACAUUCUAGGAGUCAUAACAGAAUGCCAAACAUUACUAAUCUCUAUACCCUGUUAUUUUUACAGAUUAUCUCAAGGUCUGUGGUAUGUAAAAAAAAAAAUGAAAAUGUUUAUGAGGACUUUUGUGGGUAUUCUGUUUCAGAGUUGAGAUUUUGCCAAAGGAGGCAUGAUCUUUGACUGCAGGUUUGUGCUUUCUCUUACCCAGUAGCUAAACCCACUCUCUUUCUCUGACACCACCCAGAAUAUUUAGUCCAUAGAGACGCCACUGUCUCAUCCAGUUUCCUAAUUUAGACUGAGGGAGAAAUUUGCAACGGGAAUAGCUGGGGGUGCUUGAUAUCAAUCCUGUGAAGGAAGGGGAUGUUGGUAAAGUUAGCAUAAUGGUGCUGAUAGCUUUUUAAAAAUUAACCUAUUCCCCUCAGAGGUAGCUGAGCCACUGUUUUUUUUUUUUUUUUAAAGAUUAAUUACUACUCAGAUUCACUAGUGUAUUGCCAGGGAUAUUAUGAAGUAAAUAAUAUGGCACGAUGGGGUGAAUCCUGAAUUACUUAUCCCAGGCCAACUAUUAUGACAGAAGAAACUCUUGUUUCUAAACAAGUCAUGUUAGUUCAUGGAAGUAAAAAAACAAACAACAACACAAAACCAUUCACACAAAAGUGCUAUCUUUUAGCAGGAAUCUUUUGAGAUCCAUCUGAUAGCGAUUGCACUGUGGCAAAAGAUUAACCUCUUGAAACAUGUUUUACUUUAUCACACUAAUUAAACCCUUCCAUUCUUAGGGGGAUAAGGUGCCGUUCUUUAAUUUUAAUUGUUCUCAGAGCACAUCUGCGACUUUUUUGUUGUGGUUGUUAUCGUCAUUCCCUCGCAGCUAACACUUGGAGCACAGGGAAUUUUCGUGGAAGGAGUAGUCCAGCAGCUGCACAGCAAAGGAAGAAGAAGAGCUGUGACGAGGAAGCGAAGCUCUAAGCAGGCCUUGCUCAUUGAUUUCCUGGGUGACCUUGCUCAAGCUUCUUCACCUCCUCAUGCCUCAGUCAGCUCAGCUGGAAAAUUGGGUAAAGAGCGGGGAGUAUUGGGGGAGAAGGGGGGAAAAACAUCUUGGAGUUUGAAACUGAAAUCUCCCUGUUAACUCCCCCUCCUCCCUCCAAAGUGAGUGCAGUCAUUUUACACAGAUGUAAUUGCUUGUGCACUGCACACCAAUCAUUUUCUUGAGUUUCAUGGCACAAGGGCUGACAUUCCGUGACAUGUUAAGGACCCAUGCAGUCCUGUGCAUUCUCUGUGAUAAUUGCCUUUUUUUCUGUGCCGAAGUUUUAUAUCACAUAGCGCAAGUUAAUGGGGCUAGGUCCACUUCUGUAUUCUCUAAUCAAAAGGGCAAGGAUUAAUAACAAAUCUAGAAUCAUAGAAUUGUAGGGUUGAAAGGGACCCGAGGAUCAUCUAAUCUAACCCCCUGCAAUGCAGGAAUCUCAACUUGAUCAUACAUGGCUGAUGGCCAUCCAACCUCUGCUUAAAAACCUCCAAGGAAGGAGGGUCCACCACUUCCUGUGGGUGUCUGUCCCACUGUUGAACAGCUCUUGCUGUCAGAAAGUUCUUUGUGAUGUUUAGUUAGAAUAUCCUUUCUUUAACUUGAGUCAAUUGGUUCAAGUCCUACCUUACAGAGCAGGAGAAAACAAGCUUCUUCCAUCCUCCAUGCGACAGCCCUUUAGAUUUUUGAAGAUGGCUAUCAUAUCUCCUCUCAGUCUCCUCUUUAACAGGCUAAACAUAUCCAGUUAUGUCAACUAUUCCUCAUAAGCAGUGCUUUUCUUCUGAGGCUACUCAAGGGUACAUAGUACCGGCAUUUUUUGCCCCCCAAAUGUUUAAAGUAUGGCACUGACUGUAACAACUUGAUGGUGUGCACCAGCACUAUUUUUUACAAAACAAAACACUACUAAUAAAACUUGAUUUCCAGACCCUUUAUUAUCUUGGUUGCCCUUAUCUGCACAAGUUCAAGCUUGUCAAUAUCCUUCUUUAAUUGUGGACACAGUAUUCUAGGUAUGGUCUGCCAAGGCAGAAUACAGCAGGACUAUUACUUCGAUUGAUCUGGAUGCUAUACUUCUGUUGAUGCAGCCUAGAAUAAACUGCUGCAUCACAAUUUUGACUCUUACAGUUUACUAAGACCCCUAGAUCCUUUUCACAGGUACUACUGAUAGUACAGGUGCCCUCCACCUUAUAUCUGAACAACAACAGCAAUUGUUGUUGUUAUUAGUAUUAUUUUACUCACUGAAGAAAUGACUUAGAAGUUCUCCAUGUGUGCUCCACACAAAAAUAAUAUAUGCUAAAACAUGCCAGCAGAGUGUGAACCAAGGAUUCCCAAACUGUGGUCCCUGGACCACCAGCGAUCCAUGAGCUUCAGGUGGUCUGUGGUGUAUUUGUAAAAAUACAAAUCAUACAGUAUUUAGCACAGUGAAUUACAAAAGCCAGAAAAAUAAUUUUGCCAACCCUGGCUACCACUUCACUGGAUAUUGUUGUUGCUGUUGUUGUAUUGUAAUGUUUUAUUGUGUAAACCCCCUGGGAUUAUCACUGUUUUUUAAUGAACAGUAUAUAAAUUACCUAAAGAAUAUUGGAUAAUUAUUUUGUUAUGUGACCAUUUUAAGUGACCAUCCCAGAGCAAGUUCUUCGUAUCCAUUCAUAAGAAUAAAAGUUCCAGCUAGGCCCAAAGAUUUGUCACAGCUAGUGUUUCAGUUUCAAAAUAAAAGGGGGGGAAGUAUUUGUUAUAUACCAUACUAUUCCAUCUAUAAGAUGCCCCCAUGUAUAAGACCCACCCCCCAUUUUUGGGACUCAGUUUUAAGAAAAUGAGGGGAGAUGGCCCAAAGUUGUUGAGCUUCUCUCCCCCCCCCCACAGCUGCAGGCAGGAAACAGUUCCUAGAUCGCUUCCUGUGUGCAGCAGCAUUGGGGAAAGUUGUGCUCCCACCAACCGGCUGGCUGGAGGGCGUACCGCUUCUCUCUCCCACCCACCCCAUGGCACUACCCGUGUAUUGGACAGCCCCAGUUUUUUGACAAGAUUUUUUAGUCAGAAAACCUCGUCUAAUACACGGAAAACUGGUAGAUCCAAGGACAUUUAAUGGCUUGUGGAAAACCACCCAACCAGCCAUGCCUGGUGUGUAUGUUUCAGGUAGUCCCUUAUUAGCUCCAUCCUCUUCCUAAUUUCAUAGUAUUUGUAUUGGGCAAAAGCCAGCACCUCCAGUUUGUGUCGAUGCAUUUAUAUUACAAAGGGCCUGCAGAUCUGACCUGCUUGACUUGGGAAAAUGCACAUUUCCUCUUCCUGUAAAAUAUUUCUCUUCCAUCUACAAUCUGCCUUUCAUUUUUUCCCCAUAUUUGGGGCAGGAGAUCGUGUCUGCCGAAGGCUAACUUUAUAUGCAUGUCAAAUAGCGUAUUUUUUAUGAAGUUAAUGCCCAGAUAAUUAUUGGAUAAAUCACACUCUUAAGUGCCUCUGUUUUUCUUAGAAAAUUAUGGGGAUGAAAUAACGCCAAAUGUAUUAAAUUAAAGGUUCGUAUGCGGAGGCAGAUUUUGUACUAGCAUAGUAACUUCCAAGCCAUUGUGGUUUAAAGUGAGUCCCACAUUGCAAAUUGGGGGAUGGAGGGGGACAACUCUUGUUUGCUCCAAAUGAACCUCUUCUACAAUGCAGUUAGCAGGUACUGGGAGUUCAAUCUGGGUUGAGAACCUGGCAUGGGCUCAGGGACAGCAGGUGAGAUCUACUACCUAUUCACCCCACACUGCGGUCAUGAGCCACGCUGGGUACCCAGCACCUGCCAUUUGCAUUGCCAAAAAGGAUCCAUUCAUUUCAGUCAGCAGGACUCUCAGCUGAAGCCGUGUGCAAAGCCUUCCACUUGUGGAACAGGGCUUCCCCCAUCUCCUCCUCGUUUGCACCACCCAAAAUUGGCUCUGGAGGGGGGACAAGGGAACCCCCAGAACAUUGCAGGGUGGGGAGGAGGGAUGUUCGGUCUGGCAUGCUGAAAUGCUUGUGCAGACAGAAUGUUUGUCACAGCGUGAUGUUGAAUUUUUACCUAGGGAUUUUACCUCCCACUGUCCACUUAUCUGGAUUAGGCCUGCAGUUUGUGUUGGCUGGAGAAGAAGAAAUGCCAGCAUGCAAGUUUGAGAGGAAGGAGGGUGUGGGGCUGCGAAGGAGAAACCAGCUGGGGGACUGAAUGGCAAACAUCUGAGGGCCACCUCUCCAUCCCCUUCUUUAAAGGAUUGCCGGGAUGCUCACAAUAUUACUGCGCACUGGACUGUGGGUUCUUCUGCAAGGAUCUGGGAUUGCUCAAAACGCCAGCAUAUGAAUGGCAUUUUGCUUCCUGUAGAGUGCAAAGGGCAUAGUUCCUUCUUUAGGGUGCUUUUGUGUGGAGGGGGAGAGAUAUUUAUUGGGAUUAAGAAUUUUUAUUUUGUUUGAGUACCUCUUCCAGGUAAAUCAAUAACUUUUCUGUUGCAUAAACUUCUGAAUCCACCCUACAUCUCAUCUAAUUACUUGGAUGCAACAAUAAUCUCCUAUUGCUAAUGCGAUGUAAAAUAAAUUAGUGGUCUUUCCCCCCCCACCCCUCUAAUGUAUUUCUUCACAAUAAAAUAACUUGCUAUUUCCUAUUUGCUAUUGGAAUGCAAUUCUAAAAAAUAAAAAUCUUACACUGUAG